UUGUCUUCUCUCUCUGAUAUGCUUCGACUUCUUUCCUUUCUGUGAAGCUUCUUCCUCUUCUCUCUGUGGUUGUUGCAACUUCCCCAUCUUACUUCUUUCCUUCUUAUGUUUUCUAUAUCAGUGUUCUUGAUUUUGUUUGAGACCAUAACAAUUGCGCUUUCAUUGCCUUCCUGCUCUACACCGAUGGAAGAUGAUGCUGAGGUUGAAGCUGUUUACCUUGGUAUUCGGCGCAAUCGCGAUUGACUGGAGCCAAAUCGACGUCACAAUUUUCCUCACCUUGACCGUAUUGAUGCUCGGCUUGCUGUUAUCAAUCGUCGCUUGGGAAUUGAAGACGAGCGUUUAUCCGCAUUGAUUGGGGUUCCACCUCAGCUUCCACCGCCAUCUUUAACGAUGUUGACGCUACUCAUAGUGUCUCUGUUCCUCACACACCUGUAUCAUCUUCAUUUGACCACAACCAGAUUGCUCUUGUUGAUUUUAAAAUUUCUACCCUCACCGAUGUCUCUGAAGACAUUGAAGAUGUCGACCAUGACCUUGGCCAUUCCUUCUCGAUUGGAGGUUUGUCUUCUCAUAUCGGUCCUCUGGGUGUGGGACCCAUGGACCUUGUGUUACCCUCAAUGUUGCCUUCACCCGCUGUGAUGCACUCAUUCUCUAACAACGUUGAGGCUGUUAACAAUGACCUAACCAAACCUUAGACGAGGUGGCACUUAUCGAUGAUUGUUGCAAGAUUGUCUAAUCCAUUGAUUCUGAUAAUUCAAGCUUUAAUGACGUUUUUGUGCCAAUUUCGUGGGUGAUUGGUAUUCUUCCCCCUUUUGUCGCAUGUCAACCACAAAUCUUCUGUGACAGAUUUAAGGUGCGCCUCUGUUGACUGUGUUUGACACCCCAAGUCAUUUUCCAAGUUUGCAGCAUGACAAUGCUAAUAAUGGUCCUCUACCCAACUAUUGUCAUACUGAUACGAGGGAUUUAUUGGGGGUUGUUACUAGCAUGCAAAUGAGAUUAGUCUUUGAUCCUGGUAGCUAGUGUAAUUUCAAAUCCGUUGAUGCAUUUCAUUAUUACCGUCGCCUAAUUCGUUGCUACCUUGAGCUGCAUCCAUGGUGUUUAACAUAUUCACUUUUUAAGGAGUUUUUUUAUUUCAAAAUAUAAAAUAUUUUGAAUAGAUUAAAAUUUUAUUAAAUACAUUAAUUCUUAUAUUACUUUUUUUCUCUUUAUAAUUAAUUUUUGUCUUUUCUCUUUUUAAUAUAUUAAAUGAGUAUUUUUGAAAAUUUAUAUUUUUAUUUGGGAAAGAUAAGGUUGAUAAGUAUAUUUAAUGAAUUUUAUUGAUAUGUGAAAUUUUAUCUAAACAUAUCUUAUAAUUUGAGAUGGAGGAAGUAAUAUUCACUUAAAUUAUUGACUUCUGUCUUAGUCUUCCAACCUUGAACUUAUUCUUCACUGUGAUGCUUGAGCUUCAAAAUGCUAAAGGAUAUUGGUAUUUGACUUUUCAUGUUAAAGGCCAUUUGCCAUCUUUAGUUUUAGUAACGACAGAUUUUGUUCAAGCUUUACGUCAUGCAUGGAGGAGGACUUACGCUGCUCUAAAGGUUCCUCUUAACUAUUUUCAUGCUUAAGCUCUUCCUUUUUAAUUUUGAUCCUCGAGCAUUGAAGGUCAAGUUGCCACUUAAAGGGUCCAAAGCAAACACUUCUGGGUAUGGAGAAGGUAGUUGAUGAUACCUUGAAGACGAUGCACCCUGGAUUGGCAUAACACUUUCCUUCUCACAUCUUGUUUGGGAAUGGCUGAAGUUUUUAGUUCUUGUCAUCAUUUGUUAUUACUCUCUUGGCAUCGCUUACAGAUCUUACAAGCAACGAAUUAGUUCUAACUUUACUUGGUCUUGACAUUUUUUACCCUAAUGAUGAAAGGGCUCUUAUUGCCAAAGCUCCAUUUACUAUAAUUUGAUGACACCUUGUUACACGAAUAUGUUUUGAUUGGGCCUGCGGUCUUGACAAUUGGAGUCAUAAAAGAUGGAGUCAACUCAUUUAUUCACUUCAGAA